AUGUUGAAUGAGGAGGUUAUGAACACGGAUCUAAGGUGACACCAGGCUGUCUCGUUUGUGCCGUCACACAAGGUCGAUCUAGACAACAUGAGCAUCGCAAAUCAUCUGCAAUAUUUACAACAAGUCCUCCGGUUGAUGGAGCACCUGUAGUUUGCCUGUUCCAGCUGAUGUGUGGUCCAUCAUGUGCUAUGACCCUGCAGGCCAGAGGUUGUGCUGCAGAAAUGAAAAGAAAGGAUUGCUGGCUAGACAAACUUCCAAAGGUUCCAAAUGCAGCAGGUAUACCUGCUGCUUGUGGAAGUACCCCACACUCCCAGGUCUGCCAUAUGGACUGUUAUGGCUGGAGAACCUAGUUGCUGAACCAUCCUCCCAUUCCCCUUCCAUCUUUACUGAAGGUAAUAGGACUCACCUAAGAUGAGUACACAGGUUUUUAUUGGCAAAUCUCAAGGUUAGCAGCUUUCUCUCAGUGACUGUAAAUGAUUCAUGACCUAUCAGUGUUGAAUUCCCACAGCUUGUUUUAUUUCUGUCAGUUUUGCUUGGCUUGUAAGAGCUUUGGUGCUAUGGGUAAUAGGCAUGUCAACAGAAAUAUCCAAUACUGAAUGACUUUGUCCAGAGAUGCUUUUCACUGCAGUCACCUGUAAUGUA